rnacentral:rRNA from 1 species
CCCUUAGAUGUUCUGGGCCGCACGCGUGCUACACUGACCGGUGCAACAAGUUUCUUUCCUUGGCUCGAUAGGCCUGGGUAAUCUUUGAACACCGGUCGUGAUGGGGAUAGAUCCUUGCAAUUUUUGAUCUUCAACGAGGAAUUCCUAGUAAAUGCGAGUCAUCAUCUCGCGUUGAUUACGUCCCUGCCCUUUGUACACACCGCCCGUCGCUCCUACCGAUUGGGUGCUCCGGUGAAUUGUUUGGACUGCUGUCAGUCUUUUUGGCUGUCGGCGAGAAGCUCUGUGAACCUUAGCACCUAGAGGAAGGAGAAGUCGUAACA